rnacentral:tRNA from 1 species
AACUCCGUGGUGAAGUUCACACCAAAUUGCAAAUUUGGAGAUAUACUUUUGUUAGUGUCGGGGUUU